AAGUCGAGCGAACGGAUGAGAAGCUUGCUUCUCUGAUGCUAGCGGCGGACGGGUGAGUAACACGUGGAUAACCUACCUAUAAGACUGGGAUAACUUCGGGAAACCGGAGCUAAUACCGGAUAAUAUUUUGAACCGCAUGGUUCAAAAGUGAAAGACGGUCUUGCUGUCACUUAUAGAUGGAUCCGCGCUGCAUUAGCUAGUUGGUAAGGUAACGGCUUACCAAGGCAACGAUGCAUAGCCGACCUGAGAGGGUGAUCGGCCACACUGGAACUGAGACACGGUCCAGACUCCUACGGGAGGCAGCAGUAGGGAAUCUUCCGCAAUGGGCGAAAGCCUGACGGAGCAACGCCGCGUGAGUGAUGAAGGUCUUCGGAUCGUAAAACUCUGUUAUUAGGGAAGAACAUAUGUGUAAGUAACUGUGCACAUCUUGACGGUACCUAAUCAGAAAGCCACAGCUAACUACGUGCCAGCAGCCGCGGUAAUACGUAGGUGGCAAGCGUUAUCCGGAAUUAUUGGGCGUAAAGCGCGCGUAGGCGGUUUUUUAAGUCUGAUGUGAAAGCCCACGGCUCAACCGUGGAGGGUCAUUGGAAACUGGAAAACUUGAGUGCAGAAGAGGAAAGUGGAAUUCCAUGUGUAGCGGUGAAAUGCGCAGAGAUAUGGAGGAACACCAGUGGCGAAGGCGACUUUCUGGUCUGUAACUGACGCUGAUGUGCGAAAGCGUGGGGAUCAAACAGGAUUAG
rnacentral:rRNA from 1 species